CAUGUCUCAGUGCAAGCCGCAGUAAGGUGAAACCGCGAAUGGCUCAUUAAAUCAGUUAUGGUUCCUUGGACCUUGGCCUUUACUUGGAUAACUGUGGCAAUUCUAGAGCUAAUACAUGCAAUCAGUCUCGACCAGAGAUGGAAGAGACGCUUUUAUUAGAUCAAAACCAAUCGGCCGGCUUCGCGCCGGCCGCACGUUUUGGUGACUCUGGAUAACUUUGGGCGGAUCGCACGGUCUCCGCACCGGCGACGUACCCUUCAAAUGUCUGCCUUAUCAACUUACGAUGGUAGGCUCUGCGCCUACCAUGGUUAUAACGGGUGACGGGGAAUCAGGGUUCGAUUCCGGAGAGGGAGCCUGAGAAACGGCUACCACAUCCAAGGAAGGCAGCAGGCGCGCAAAUUACCCACUCCCGGCACGGGGAGGUAGUGACGAAAAAUAACGAUACGGGACUCAUCCGAGGCCCCGUAAUCGGAAUGAGUACACUUUAAAUCCUUUAGCAAGUAUCAAUUGGAGGGCAAGUCUGGUGCCAGCAGCCGCGGUAAUUCCAGCUCCAAUAGCGUAUAUUAAAGUUGCUGCGGUUAAAAAGCUCGUAGUUGGCGGUGUGUCCCGCGCUACCGGUUCACCGCUCGUCGGUGUCUAACUGGCACGCAUGCGGGACGUCCUGCUGGUGGAGGCGAGUCGAAGGCCCGGUGCGGGCAUUGCUGCGGCUCCGUCGUCCCGUCGUCGUCGCGUUGGAGCGCGUUUGCCCGGGAACCGCUUCGCGGCGGUCUCCCGGCGCGGCCGUUCUGCGCGUGCGCUUCGGAACCAGGCGGCGGGGCGGGCUUGCCUUAGCUACCGACCGGAGGCGGACCCCGAUGUCACCCGCCGCGGUGCUCUUCACUGAGUGUCGCGCGGGCCGGCACGUUUACUUUGAACAAAUUAGAGUGCUUAAAGCAGGCCUUUUACUGCCUGAAUAUUGUGUGCAUGGAAUAAUGGAAUAGGACCUCGGUUCUAUUUUGUUGGUUUUCGGAGCCCGAGGUAAUGAUUAAUAGGGAUUGCCGGGGGCAUCCGUAUUGCGACGUUAGAGGUGAAAUUCUUGGAUCGUCGCAAGACGAACUGAAGCGAAAGCGUUUGCCAAGUAUGUUUUCUUUAAUCAAGAACGAAAGUCAGAGGUUCGAAGGCGAUCAGAUACCGCCCUAGUUCUGACCAUAAACUAUGCCAUCUUGCGAUUCGCUGUGUGUCAACGAUGUCACGGCGGGCAGCAACCGGGAAACCAAAGAUUCUGGGUUCCGGGGGAAGUAUGGUUGCAAAGCUGAAACUUAAAGGAAUUGACGGAAGGGCACCACCAGGAGUGGGGCCUGCGGCUUAAUUUGACUCAACACGGGAAACCUCACCAGGCCAGGACACUGGAAGGAUUGACAGAUUGAGAGCUCUUUCUUGAUUCGGUGGGCGGUGGUGCAUGGCCGUUCUUAGUUCGUGGGGCGACUUGUCUGGUUAAUUCCGUUAACGAACGAGACCCUGGCCUGCUAACUAGUCGAUACCGGCAUCCUUGGUGCAGCCGGCGAUCAAACAUCUUCUUAGAGGGACUGGCGGCUUCUAGCCGCAGGAAGUAGGGCAAUAACAGGUCAGUGAUGCCCUUAGAUGUUCUGGGCAGCACGCGCGCCACACUGAAGGGAUCAACGUGUGUUUUCCUAGUCUGAGAAGACCGGGUAACCCGUUGAAUGUCCUUCGUGCUAGGGAUUGGGGCUUGCAAUUGUUCCCCAUGAACGAGGAAUUUCUAGUAAGCGGGAAUCAUUAGUUCCCGUUGAUUAUGUCCCUGCCCUUUGUACACACCGCCCGUCGCUACUACCGAUUGAAUGAUUUAGUGAGGUCUUCGGACCAGAGCGCGGGCUCCGGCUGGCGCUCCGGAAAGAUGACCGAACUUG
rnacentral:rRNA from 1 species